CGUUUAGGGGUAAACCUGAGAAGCCCGAAAGGUCGAAGGGAGAAAUUCAUUCGCGUUUCGCCGUUGGCGUGAAGCGGUCGUGUGACGGAAAACGUUCGCGUUUUCCGCGCCUUCCGUUUUUCGAUCCGAUAGCGAACGCGUGCACUUUUCUCCUGGUAGGACGUCGCGAUCCGUUGGGUGUCGGUCUACGGCUCGCGGUGGAGCCCGAAUAUACGGCUUGCCGUCACGUUCGGACCCGCGUGUCCCGGCUGACUCGCUCGACGGUAUACGAAAGGUUUAAGGCCGCUCUUUGAGCGUUCGGCUCGUCGCAAGCGCGUCAGAUGUGUUGGCGAUCGGACCUGGUGCCGGUUCUGACCUCUGACGACUGUUGGCGACGAAGUUCUCGAACAGACCUUUGACCGAUCUGCGACGCUAUAGCUUUGGGUACUUUCAGGACCCGUCUUGAAACACGGACCAAGGAGUCUAGCAUGUGCGCGAGUCAUUGGGAAUCACUAAACCUAAAGGCGCAAUGAAAGUAAAAGUCCGCCUCGCGCGGACUUAGGGAGGACGAGCGGUUUACCCUUAAAAGUGGCCGCUCCGCACUCCCGGGGCGUCUCAUUCUCAUCGCGAGAAGAGGCGCACCAAGAGCGUACACGCUGGGACCCGAAAGAUGGUGAACUAUGCCUGGUCAGGACGAAGUCAGGGGAAACCCUGAUGGAGGUCCGUAGCGAUUCUGACGUGCAAAUCGAUCGUCGGAACUGGGUAUAGGGGCGAAAGACUAAUCGAAC
rnacentral:rRNA from 1 species